CCCACCGUUGAAACGGUGGGCUAUUAUCGAAUGUCCCUCCGGGACG
rnacentral:sRNA from 1 species